CUACGGGAGGCAGCAGUAGGGAAUAUUGGACAAUGGGCGAAAGCCUGAUCCAGCCAUGCCGCGUGAGUGAUGAAGGCCUUAGGGUUGUAAAGCUCUUUCGGCGGGGACGAUAAUGACGGUACCUGGAUAAGAAGCCCCGGCUAACUUCGUGCCAGCAGCCGCGGUAAUACGAAGGGGGCUAGCGUUGUUCGGAAUCACUGGGCGUAAAGCGCACGUAGGCGGAUCUUUAAGUCAGGGGUGAAAUCCCGGGGCUCAACCUCGGAACUGCCUUUGAUACUGGGGAUCUCGAGUUCGGGAGAGGUGAGUGGAACUGCGAGUGUAGAGGUGAAAUUCGUAGAUAUUAGGAAGAACACCAGUGGCGAAGGCGGCUCACUGGUCCGGUACUGACGCUGAGGUGCGAAAGCGUGGGGAGCAAACAGGAUUAGAUACCCGGGUAGUCC
rnacentral:rRNA from 1 species